GAUGAACGCUGGCGGCGUGCUUAACACAUGCAAGUCGAACGGAAAGGCCCUUCGGGGUACUCGAGUGGCGAACGGGUGAGUAACACGUGGGUGAUCUGCCCUGCACUUUGGGAUAAGCCUGGGAAACUGGGUCUAAUACCGAAUAGGACCACGCGCUUCAUGGUGUGUGGUGGAAAGCUUUUGCGGUGUGGGAUGGGCCCGCGGCCUAUCAGCUUGUUGGUGGGGUAAUGGCCUACCAAGGCGACGACGGGUAGCCGGCCUGAGAGGGUGACCGGCCACACUGGGACUGAGAUACGGCCCAGACUCCUACGGGAGGCAGCAGUGGGGAAUAUUGCACAAUGGACGCAAGCCUGAUGCAGCGACGCCGCGUGAGGGAUGACGGCCUUCGGGUUGUAAACCUCUUUCAAUAGGGACGAAGCGCAAGUGACGGUACCUAUAGAAGAAGCACCGGCCAACUACGUG
rnacentral:rRNA from 1 species